rnacentral:piRNA from 1 species
UCAAAUGCCUAUUGCUGGUUUAAAAACCAAAC